AGUGAACGCUGGCGGUAGGCCUAACACAUGCAAGUCGAACGGCAGCACAGUAAGAGCUUGCUCUUACGGGUGGCGAGUGGCGGACGGGUGAGGAAUACAUCGGAAUCUACUUUUUCGUGGGGGAUAACGUAGGGAAACUUACGCUAAUACCGCAUACGACCUACGGGUGAAAGCAGGGGAUCUUCGGACCUUGCGCGAUUGAAUGGGCCGAUGUCGGAUUAGCUAGAUGGCGGGGUAAAGGCCCACCAAGGCGACGAUCCGUAGCUGGUCUGAGAGGAUGAUCAGCCACACUGGAACUGAGACACGGUCCAGACUCCUACGGGAGGCAGCAGUGGGGAAUAUUGGACAAUGGGCGCAAGCCUGAUCCAGCCAUACCGCGUGGGUGAAGAAGGCCUUCGGGUUGUAAAGCCCUUUUGUUGGGAAAGAAAAGCAGCAGGUUAAUACCCCGCUGUUCUGACGGUACCCAAAGAAUAAGCACCGGCUAACUUCGUG
rnacentral:rRNA from 1 species